rnacentral:rRNA from 1 species
AUCAAUGGCCGCGGUACUUUGACCGUGCUAAGGUAGCGCAAUCAAUUGGCUUUUAAUUGGAGCCAGGUAUGAAUGGAGUCACGGGGUUUAGCUGUCUCUAAAUUAAUUUAUUGAAGUUACUAUCUAGGUGAAAAAGCCUAGAAAAAGAAAAAGGACGAGAAGACCCUUAGAGUUUUCCUUAUAGUAGAUUAUUUCUAUAACAGUUUAGUUGGGGCAACAUAGGAUCAGAAUUAUAACAUCCUUAAAAUAAUUUACCGAUUAUAAUAAAUUUGAAUAAACUACCUUAGGGAUAACAGCAKAAUUUUAUAAAUAAGUUUGUGACCUCGAUGUUGGACUAGGAAACUGAAGGGCUAGCCGCCUUUUAGGAAAGUUCUGUUCGAAC